rnacentral:rRNA from 1 species
UACAGAGGUCCCAAGCGUUGUUCGGAUUCAUUGGGCGUAAAGGGUGCGUAGGCGGCGCGGUAAGUCGGGUGUGAAAUCUCGGGGCUUAACUCCGAAACUGCAUUCGAUACUGCCGUGCUUGAGGACUGGAGAGGAGACUGGAAUUUACGGUGUAGCGGUGAAAUGCGUAGAUAUCAGGAGGAACACCGGUGGCGAAGGCGGGUCUCUGGGCAACUACUGACGCUGAGGCACGAAGGUCAGGGGAGCAAACGGG